ensembl:lncRNA
AUUUUUCUUAAAAACACGUGUUGAAGUGGCGUGUCUCCUACUUGGUUCAACUUGAAGUUGCUACAGCCUGGAGACUGAAGUCAACGUCGAGUAACACCGUUUAGAUAUCUUGACCAGAGCAUUACCGGUUAUCUUCACCCAAGAGACCUACUGUUGGACAUUCUUUUUGGAUUUAAAGGUAAACACAUUGUUAGUCACAAUGUCUAGUUACUGGGCCAAAAGGAGAAGAAUAUUGAAAGGAGUCAAGAGGGAUAAAAAGGAUAUUGCGGCUACAAACAAUGCUCUACUACUCUCUUUUUUCUGACUUUGACCAAGUAACUCCCCAUGUUAAUGAACAUCUACAUGGAAUGGCUACAACAAACCAUGUACAAACUGUAACCCCUGUAGCACAGGAAAUAAUUGUUGAUGAGGCAUGUGAAGCUGGUGAGAUGUUUUCCUCAAGCACAGAAGAUGAUGAAGAGGAAGAGGAUUGCCUAAGGACACAAUUGGCAGGGUGGGCUAUUGACAACAUGAUCCACCAUGUGGCACUUGAACAAGGUUUCUCACCAGUGGUCCAGUCUCCACUUCUAAGAGCCAAGAGUUUGAGUAAAACUGGAGGAGAACCAAGCCUGCUGGAGGGGAAGCAAUGCACGAGCAGCUUGAUAACUGCAGCUCACUUCAAGAUCAGUUGAAGCAAGUUGGGACAAUGAUGAAGACCUUUGCUCGCACAAGGCAAUCAGGCGCAGAUCAGACCCUAAUGCUGCGACGUCUUGGGAGAGUUUGGCGAUGUUGUGCGUAGCAUGGAAAACAAAAUGGACACAUUGCUGCAACAUUUCAGUGCCAAUGUGUCUGUUGGAGAGUUAUCCCUGCCCAGUGGUCUUUUACUCCCCAUAAACACCCAGGAAGAUUUGGCGUUGCUUGACAGCAGCUUGAGGCAGGAUAGCGAGCUCCAGGAACGAUUUGUAAGUGUGCUGCUAUUGUUUCUAACGCUGUAGGUUCUAAAGUCAAAUUAAGAUUGUACACUGCAUAUUCGACAGUCUGAAUUCACAGCCUGUCACAUUUGAUAUUUAUGUAUGAGAAGCUUCAGCGAAAUGUAAUAUGGAGCACUUUUGGGGAUUUUCAGCUUUUUUGGCCAUCAAAUGUGGGAAGGACCUGAAGACAACUGUGUAGAGAAUGCUUCAGAGUAUCUUCUCAAAUCGCCUUUCAAUUUCUACAACUUGGACUAGGGGCUAAAGCUUGUUUUAAAGACCUGUUCCUGAAGACCAUUGUUCAAAGUAAAGCGGUAAAGCUGCCUUUGUUAUAACUGUGGCGGAACGGCGGUUGACCUGCUGUCCGUCCGCGAAAGAAAGGCGGUCCGCCGGCGGCGAUUACGCCAUUCUGCCGCUGCUACGAUCUCUGGCGAACCGCUGGCGGCCCGCCGACUCAUUGCUAUCUGGGACGGGGCUUCAAAAGGACGUAUGACAUCACCUCGCAUUACCAAGGCUAGCAAAGGCCUAGUUUAUGCUUCUGCGUUUUCAGAGAGACGCAAGGACACGCAGACGCAAGACCCCCUUGCGUGUCCCUUGCGUGCCUUUUCACUCCUCCUUGCGUGCGUCAACCCAUUUUUCUACGCAAGCCUCCCGCAGCGCACAAGGCUGCGAUUGGUCUGCUAUCUACAUCCUUAACGGAGUCUCACAUUUCUGGUUUCAUAGCACAAUACCGCCAUUAUUAAAGUGGAGAAUGUUUACGAGAGAACGGAUCAGAUUGAAGAGCUUUUGUCAGAAGAAAUGCGUAAAUAUGACCGCUUCUAUAUCCCGUCAUUGGCGGACUAUAAGGAAGCGCUGAUGGUCUCUGAUUCAUGGAGAGAGAUCUCCGCAAACGUCGGUUUGCCGGUUGAGAGGUGCACAAAGUUGUGGGGGAAAAUACGGGACAAAUGUGUCCGUGAUGAAAAGCAGCAGUGUCGAUGCACGGGGCAAUAAAGUCUAUGAUAAAUAAAUAAACAAAUAAAUAAAUAGACGUGACUCUCUAGGUCGUCUUGGACAAAAACACGUCACUCCGCCUGUUGUUCUGGCGGUGAAUUGCUCUGCAACACACGCAAGACUUUUAGAACCGUGAAUUGAAACGAGUGCGUCGACACAACGGUGCGUAAAGACGCAGAAGCAUGCGCCAGCCUUAAGUAAAAGUAUGUGAGUA